rnacentral:rRNA from 1 species
GCCUGCCCAGUGACUUUAUGUUAAACGGCCGCGGUAUUCUGACCGUGCCAAGGUAGCGCAAUCACUUCGCCCUUUAAAUGGGGGCCCGUAUGAACGGCACCACGAGGGCUAAUCUGUCUCCUUUUUCAGGUCAAUGAAAUUGAUCUCCCCGUGCAGAAGCGGGGAUAAUCUCAUAAGACGAGAAGACCCUGUGGAGCUUAAGAUUUUAAGAGGGGCCCCGUCUCAGCCCUGAAAAACUGGGUUAAACGAGGGGCAACCAUCUGAUUAUCUUUGGUUGGGGCGACCGCGGGGUACAAAAAAACCCCCACGUGGAUUGAGGACAUAACGCACUCAAAAAUAAGAGUAACCACUCUAACUAGCAGAACUUCUGACUGACAGAUGAUCCGACAAAGUCGAUCAACGAACCGAGUUACCCCAGGGAUAACAGCGCAAUCCCCUUAAAGAGCCCACAUCGACAAGGGGGUUUACGACCUCGAUGUUGGAUCAGGACAUCCCAAUGGCGCAGCAACUAUUAAGGGUUCGUUUGUUCAACG